AAGAUUAUUAUGCCACUCUUUAAUGUGCUUCAUUACUCUCGUCUAAAGAUUUCACAUCCUAGCGGGGCUAAAAUGGAAGGGUUUUUUGGGAUGGCAUGGUAGAGGCUAUUCACUGUUGUGUAGCUCAUGAUCUAAUGGCCUUUCAGUGGAUCCUAAAUAACAUUUAGAAUGUGGUCAAAAAAUAGUACUACAUACAAUUUUUAAUAAUCUGGCAUUAUCUUUGCACUU
rnacentral:misc_RNA from 1 species